AGGACCGUGAUCCAGGAGUUAAAUCGCUCCUUUUAAGGCCGUUCUCUCCCAGCCCUGUGAGAAGAGGUAAUUUUGCAAAUUAGCCCAAGAACCCUGAAUGAGUUAACCCCUGUGAAGCAGGAGUGCAUCUCGCUCCACCACCAAAGGUUUAGGCCUGCACGUUCCAGACCCUUCUGCUGCCUUCUCCCUCUGGGCCUGUUCACGUCACUCCAGCUCUUCUCCAAGGAGCCGGCUGGGUCUGGCCGGAGACGCUGCCAGCUCCACGGAGCCGUCAGCCUUCAGAGCAGCACCUUGGGCCAGGAAACACGGACAGGGGGAGUUCUGUGUGCGACUAAUGGACCCCAGAUAGAGCCACUCUUCAGUCACUGCCGUCACUUGAAAAUGCAUUUCCAGUUGACAAUAGCCGUCUGCCUAUAGAUAGCUCCACGCAGAGAUGGCUGGUCAGGCUGCUCUCCCAGAUGCCUGGGUCAGCAAUUUCCAAAGCAUCCAGUCAGCAGUUCCUGCUUCCUCCAGCAAAGUCUGGCUCUCUCCUCCCAUCUCCCAGUCCCAGGACAGGGUCCGGGCCUAGAGGGGACAGUGGCCGCCCCAAUCCGUUGCCAACAGCAGGCCCCUCUCUCUGCGCUGCCUCCAGGCCCCCAGGACAGGUGACUUGGACCGCGCGGCCCUGGGGCAUAUGCAGCCUGGCUGGGCGGUGCUGA
rnacentral:lncRNA from 1 species